rnacentral:rRNA from 1 species
UCAAAAACAUCGCCUCUAGAUAAUAUUAUUAGAGGUUCAUCCUGCCCAGUGACAUUUGUUCAACGGCCGCGGUAUCCUGACCGUGCUAAGGUAGCAUAAUCGUUUGCCUUUUAAUUGAAGGCUGGUAUGAAUGGACAAACGAAAGUACAUCUGUAUCAUUAAAGUUUAUGAAAAUUAUCUUUUAGGUGAAGAGCCCUAAAUUUUUUAAAAAGACGAAAAGACCCUAUGGAGCUUUACUUAUCUUAAUUACUUGUUAUCAAGUUUGUAUAUUCGUAAUUAAUAAAGUUUAGUUGGGGCGACUAAGGAACAAAUAAAAGCUUCCUAUAAAUAUAAUUACUACAAGUUUAUUUAUCCGUAAAUUACGAAUAUGGAACCAGCUACCCUAGGGAUAACAGGCUAAUCCUCUUCGAGAGUUCAAAUUUACAAGAGGGGUUGGCACCUCGAUGUUGGCUUAAGGCUUCUUUUUGGCGCAGCAGCUUUAAAAGUGGGUUUGUUCAACCUUUAAAGCCUUACGUGAUC